UAACCGUAAGUGAACCUGCGGAGGGAUCAUUAACGAGUUAGGGUCUCACCGGCCCGACCUCCCAACCCUUUGUCUACUUGACCAUCGUUGCUUCGGCGAGCCCGUCCUUACGGACCGCCGGGGGGCUCCAAGCCCUCUGGCCCGCGCUCGUCGACAGCCCCCAAAUUUAAAAUCUUCUCUAAACGUGUCUUGAAUCUAAGUCUUAUUGUUAAAUAAAAACAAAACUUUCAACAACGGAUCUCUUGGUUCUG
rnacentral:misc_RNA from 1 species